rnacentral:rRNA from 1 species
GAUUGCCCUAGUAACGGCGAGUGAAGCGGCAACAGCUCAAAUUUGAAAUCUGGCCUCGGCCCGAGUUGUAAUUUGCAGAGGAUGCUUCUGGCGCGGUGCCUUCCGAGUUCCCUGGAACGGGACGCCACAGAGGGUGAGAGCCCCGUAUGGUCGGACACCAAGCCUGUGUGAAGCUCCUUCGACGAGUCGAGUAGUUUGGGAAUGCUGCUCUAAAUGGGAGGUAAAUCUCUUCUAAAGCUAAAUACCGGCCAGAGACCGAUAGCGCACAAGUAGAGUGAUCGAAAGAUGAAAAGCACCUUGAAAAGGGGGUUAAAUAGUACGUGAAAUUGUUGAAAGGGAAGCACUUAUGACCAGACUUGGGCCGGGCGGCUCAUCAGGGGUUCUCCCCUGUGCACUCCGCCCGGCACAGGCCAGCAUCGGUUCUCGUGGGGGGAUAAGACCGUCAGGAACGUAGCACCCUCCGGGGUGUGUUAUAGCCUGGCGGACGAUACCCCCGUGGGGACCGAGGUCCGCGCAUUGCAAGGAUGCUGGCGUAAUGGUCAUCAGUGACCCGUCUUGAAACACGGACCAAGGAGUCGUCCAUUAGAGCGAGCGUUUGGGUGUAAAACCCGCACGCGUAAUGAAAGUGAACGCAGGUGAGAGCUUCGGCGCAUCAUCGACCGAUCCUGAUGUUCUCGGAAGGAUUUGAGUAAGAGUUUUAACGGACGGACCCGAAAGACAGUGAACUAUGCUUGUAUAGGGUGAAGCCAGAGGAAACUCUGGUGGAGGCUCGCAGCGGUUCUGACGUGCAAAUCGAUCGUCAAAUAUGAGCAUGGGGGCGAAAGACUAAUCGA